GUGGGGAAUCUUCCGCAAUGGGCGAAAGCCUGACGGAGCAACGCCGCGUGGGGGACGAAGGCCUUCGGGUCGUAAACCCCUGUCAGAGGGAAAGAAGGGCGUCGGCGUGAAUAGCGCCGGCGCUUGACGGUACUCUCAGAGGAAGCCACGGCCAACUCCGUGCCAGCAGCCGCGGUAAUACGGAGGUGGCAAGCGUUGUUCGGAAUUACUGGGCGUAAAGGGCGCGUAGGCGGGGAGGUAAGUCGGGUGUGAAAUCCCUCGGCUCAACCGAGGAACUGCGCCCGAGACUGCUUCUCUUGAGUCCCGGAGAGGAAGGUGGAAUUCCCGGUGUAGCGGUGAAAUGUGUAGAGAUCGGGAGGAACACCGGUGGCGAAGGCGGCCUUCUGGACGGUGACUGACGCUGAGGCGCGAAAGCGUGGGGAGCAAACGGGAUUAGAAACCCCGGUAGUCC
rnacentral:rRNA from 1 species